rnacentral:pre_miRNA from 1 species
CUAGGAUAACAUAUUGAUUGAUAAGUGAUCAAACAUCAACACAGUCAUGUUCAGUGUCCUUCAAACUCAUCCCAAGACUCAAGAGAAAGAAAAGACAAACCUCGUGAUCACAGUCGACGAGCUGUUGUUCGCU